rnacentral:rRNA from 1 species
UACAGAGGGUGCGAGCGUUGUUCGGAAUUAUUGGGCGUAAAGCGCUUGUAGGCGGCAUGUCAAGUCGCGUGUGAAAUCCCCAGGCUUAACCUGGGAAGUGCGCGCGAAACUGACGAGCUUGAGUGCCGGAGAGGGUCGCGGAAUUCCUGGUGUAGCGGUGAAAUGCGUAGAUAUCAGGAGGAACACCGGCGGUGUAGACGGCUUCUGGACCGUAGCUGACGCUGAGACACGAAAGCGUGGGUAGCAAACAGG